UCAUAAAUCAGCAGUAGUUUGGCAUUCCAUUGCUAAUCAGUCACAAAACAGCAGUUGCUAGUGCAAAUCUGCACGUAUUCAACUGCACUAUGCAAUGCUGACUAAUUGCUGGUUUAGUGCCACCACUAGCAACACUGCCAAGCUGUAUUUCACCAAACUGGCAACUCUUUUAUCAUUAUGAGAGAAGAGUGAAAGAGAGAGUGUGAGAAUAUAAAAAACAAGAUGUUUGUGUCUCGCUUCCUCAUGGCAUAAAAAAUAAACAGAGCGAAAAGUGCAAGCGGACUUGCUUCAUUCUCGAAAUGGGUGCUAAAAGAUGUUCCAGCUCUUACUGCGGCCAUUCCGUAGUUCACGAAUUUAUAGGCCAAACAGGAAUGGUGCGAUUUCAAGGCUGGAGAUUCUGGAUUUGCGAAGCCGAUUUCAGGUGUGUAACGUUCGUGGAGUUCCUGGGACCCAGCACAGGAUUGGGAUGUAGUGACCACGGUAGUGACGAUCGAAUCGUAUCUAUUGUAGUGUAAUAAAUGAUAGUAAAAUUUA